UACAGAGGUCCCAAGCGUUGUUCGGAUUCACUGGGCGUAAAGGGUGCGCAGGUGGGUUUGCAAGUUCGAUGUGAAAGCCCCGGGCUUAACCCGGGAAUGGCAUUGGAUACUGCAGAUCUGGAGGUUCGGAGGGGGGGACUGGAAUUCUUGGUGUAGCAGUGAAAUGCGUAGAUAUCAAAGAGGAACACCAGUGGCGAAGGCGAGUCCCUGGACGACACCUGACACUGAGGCACGAAAGCUAGGGGGAGCAAACAGG
rnacentral:rRNA from 1 species